rnacentral:rRNA from 1 species
UACGGAGGGUGCAAGCGUUGUCCGGAUUUAUUGGGUUUAAAGGGUGCGUAGGCGGUCUUUUAAGUCAGUGGUGAAAUCCUCCAGCUUAACUGGAGAACUGCCAUUGAUACUGGAAGACUUGAGUACAGACGAGGUAGGCGGAAUUGACAGUGUAGCGGUGAAAUGCAUAGAUAUUGUCAAGAACACCGAUUGCGAAGGCAGCUUACUAGACUGUAACUGACGCUGAGGCACGAAAGUGUGGGGAUCAAACAGG